UGUGCCUUCAUCUAGAAUUUCCUACUCUGCCUUGUACUGAUAUCACUUUCCUUAAAGUGUCUGCAAGAGGCAGACAGUAGACACUGUUUAGCUUGCCCUGGGAGGCUUCCUGCUUCCCUUCUCUGCCCUUUCCCUCAUCUCCCCAGCCACUGCUGAUUUGAAGGGCUCAGAUGUGGCCCUGAUCCUUUCAUGCUGGUCCAAGGCCACUAACACCUGAUGGCCAGAACCUAAACCAUGCCUUGGUCCUGAGAUGGUCCUCCGGAGCCCAGAAGUGGCUGCGCUGUCUUAAAGUCCACUGCAAGAAGAGGCCACUGACCCACCUUGGAGGCCUCAGGACUGAGCCUGUGGAGUAAGAGCUCCGAGAUCGCGGGCGCCACGUCCCCAGCCCCGCCCGCACGAGCUUCGCGGGGGAACCCCGGUGACGUCACCGCCCGCAGCGCCUUCCUUCCCGCGCUCUCCAGAAAGGACGCGAAGGUGGUGACGUGUCCGGAGCGCCGGCGCGGCUGCGCACAAGGAGGCGAGUGAUAAACUUGCGGCGCCGCCUGGCGGGAGGACAGCGGCGGCCGGGCUGGAGGCGACGCGUGUCGGCAGCGCCGUGGCGUCAUCUCGCGGGGCCGCGGGACCGCGUGCUGCGCCGGCCUCCCUGCGUCAGUGCGGGCGGAAGCGUGGCUUCAUGGCGGUUCCCUUGGUCUUCUGAGACUGCUUGGCCGCUUCGCGCUGCGAGUCAUGGGGAGUUCCGAGGACCAGGACACAUGAAGACAGGGCUGUGUUGUCAUGCUCAGCCGUUGUCAUCCCCUGAAAUCCGGUCUCAGGAAGGAACAGAAAGUACCGUCUCUGGCAAUACGAGCGGUUUCCUCUGUGAUGCUGUUUCUUUAUGCAGACCAGUAAUUGGGACUCAGAGCGUUGGUUUCUCACUAGUCCAUUUGUAGAGUUGUUGAUAGGAACACAGGCCAGGCUGCAGCCAUAGCUGCUUGACCCCACCUCCAAGUCGGAGCAGGGAAGGCAGGAGAGAGGUCUUACAUCCACCCCGUCAGGAACCGACCUUGUCUUUUGAAAUGUAGUCUUCCGCACAAUACUUCAUGCAAUGUCUG
rnacentral:lncRNA from 1 species